rnacentral:tRNA from 1 species
GGCCUUAUGGUCUAGUAGUAUGAUUCCUCGUUUGGGUCGAGGAGGUCCUGGGUUCAACUCCCAGUGAGGCCC